UACGGAGGGUGCAAGCGUUAUCCGGAUUUACUGGGUUUAAAGGGUGUGUAGGCGGGUCUUUAAGUCAGUGGUGAAAUCUCCGAGCUCAACUUGGAAACUGCCAUUGAUACUAUUGAUCUUGAAUUUUGUUGAGGUAGGCGGAAUAAGUCAUGUAGCGGUGAAAUGCAUAGAUAUGACUUAGAACACCAAUUGCGAAGGCAGCUUGCUAAACAAAUAUUGACGCUGAGGCACGAAAGCGUGGGGGAUCAAACAGG
rnacentral:rRNA from 1 species